rnacentral:tRNA from 19 species
UGGGGUAUCGCCAAGCGGUAAGGCACCGGUUUUUGAUACCGGCAUUCCCUGGUUCGAAUCCAGGUACCCCA